CGCCGAGACCGCUCCUGCACCUCCGACAUCCUCCCUUUUCUGCUCCCGCCUCUCCCUUCCCACUUCUGCGCGUUCUGCGAACUCCGAGAUCCGGGACGCAGGCCUACACAGCCUGGGAGGUGACUGGUUAGGAAAUGGAACUGCAGGUUUGGCCAUGUGAUUUUUCUCAGACCAAUCGAGUAUGGAUGGAAAAGAGAAUGUGCUGAGUUGAGAGACUUAAGAAGCAUGGCCAAGUUUUCAGCAGCCCGCUUGAACUCCGGCCACUUAUCAUGAGAAGAGUAAGUUCUAGGGGUCUGUUGUUACUUCAGCCUGAAAAGAGAGACGUGAUACAGUGAUAAACCUGACCUGGAGCCAGGAGCAAAGUCCAUUUGUGUCCAGCAGAAUACUGCAAUGUCACAGUUGGCCCAAAUGCCCAUGAGAGAGGAAUAAAUGUUUGUUGCUGUAAGCCAUUGA